UACGUAGGGGGCGAGCGUUGUCCGGAUUUAUUGGGCGUAAAGAACGUGUAGGCGGCCAGGUAGGUCUGCUGUGAAAACUCGAGGCUCAACCUCGAGACGUCGGCGGAAACCAUCUGGCUAGAGUCCGGAAGAGGAGAGUGGAAUUCCUGGUGUAGCGGUGAAAUGCGCAGAUAUCAGGAAGAACACCCGUGGCGAAGGCGGCUCUCUGGGACGGUACUGACGCUGAGACGCGAAAGCGUGGGGAGCGAACAGG
rnacentral:rRNA from 1 species